GACGAACGCUGGCGGCGUGCUUAACACAUGCAAGUCGAACGGAAAGGCCCCUUUGGGGGUACUCGAGUGGCGAACGGGUGAGUAACACGUGAGUAACCUGCCCUUGACUUCGGGAUAACUUCAGGAAACUGGGGCUAAUACCGGAUAGGAAUCCUUGCUGCAUGGUGGGGGUUGGAAAGCUUCGCGGGUUUUGAUGGACUCGCCGCCUUUCCGCUUGUUUGUUGGGUUGUGGCCUUCCAAGGCCUUGACGGGUAGCCGGCCUGGGUGGGCGACCGGCCACAGUGGGACUGAGAUACGGCCCAGACUCCUACGGGAGGCAGAAGUGGGGAAUAUUGAACAAGGGGCGGAAGCCUGAUGCAGCAACGCCGCGUGCGGGAUGACGGCCUUCGGGUUGUAAACCGCUUUCAGCAGGGGCGAAGCUUGUGGUGACGGUACCUGCAGAAGAAGCACCGGCUAACUACGUG
rnacentral:rRNA from 1 species